CCGUUAGUUUACAUUUGAGCUUUUAGCUCGGUGGCAAAUCGCCGGAAAAAAACGGAAAUCUCACAAAUGAUCGGUUUCGAGCAAUGCGAGCUUUCGCAACCGGAAAAUUAAGGUGGACGUGAUGAGCGAUGUGGAGGAAUGAGAUGCUGCGGGACUCGAUGCUGUUUACACGCACGCACGGGGACUAUUUUCUCUCCAGACUACUGAAAUGAGAUACACAACGUUUGGUGGCUACUGCUAUUUUGUGCUGAAAGGAAGCUUUUUACUUACUAUUUAUAACUUCGCUGGUAACCGUAUUAUAAAAGCAACACGGUACUUGAGGCAGUUCUUUAUCUUUAUCGAGGGCCGAACAACGCCCCGAACUGUUGUUGGAUGAUAAAGUGCAGCCUCUCAUUGCUUUAAUAAACUAAAGGUUUCAUAUCUGCCAUCUCCCAUGUGGUCUUUAGGAUCCGCCGCCACUGAGGAUGACCUCCGUGUGUGUGUGUAUAGGAGCUCGACGUUUUGACCGCUGUGUAUUUGACCUCCUGCUUGCAAGCAAUAAAUUGACGUUUGCAACAUUGA